CUCGUGUCGUGAGAUGUUGGGUUAAGUCCGUACGAGCGCAACCCUGUCCUUAGUUACCAGCACGUUAUGGUGGGCACUCUAAGGAGACUGCCGGUGACAAACCGGACGGAAGGUGGGGAUGACGUCAAGUCAUCAUGGCCCUUACGGCCUGGGCUACACACGUGCUACAAUGGUCGGUACAAAGGGUUGCCAAGCCGCGAGGUGGAGCUAAUCCCAUAAAACCGAUCGUAGUCCGGAUCGCAGUCUGCAACUCGACUGCGUGAAGUCGGAAUCGCUAGUAAUCGUGAAUCAGAAUGUCACGGUGAAUACGUUCCCGGGCCUU
rnacentral:rRNA from 1 species